rnacentral:rRNA from 1 species
UGCAAGUCGAACGAGAUCUUCGGAUCUAGUGGCAGACGGGUGCGUAACGCGUGGGAACCUGCCCUUUAGUAAGGAAUAACUCAGGGAAACUUGUGCUAAUACCUUAUAAUCCCUUCGGGAGAAAGCUUUAUGCGCUAAUGGAUGGGCCCGCGUUAGAUUAGCUUGUUGGUGAGGUAAUGGCUCACCAAGGCGACGAUCUAUAGCUGGUCUGAGAGGAUGAUCAGCCACACUGGGACUGAGACACGGCCCAGACUCCUACGGGAGGCAGCAGUGGGGAAUAUUGGACAAUGGGGGCAACCCUGAUCCAGCGAUGCCGCGUGAGUGAUGAAGGCCUUAGGGUUGUAAAACACUUUCAGUCAGGAGGAAAGGUUAGUAGUUAAUACCUGCUAGCUGUGACGUUACUGACAGAAGAAGCACCGGCUAACUCCGUGCCAGCAGCCGCGGUAAUACGGAGGGUGCGAGCGUUAAUCGGAAUUACUGGGCGUAAAGCGUACGCAGGCGGUUUGUUAAGCGAGAUGUGAAAGCCCCGGGCUCAACCUGGGAACUGCAUUUCGAACUGGCAAACUAGAGUGUGAUAGAGGGUGGUAGAAUUUCAGGUGUAGCGGUGAAAAUGCGUA